rnacentral:rRNA from 1 species
UACGGAGGGUUCGAGCGUUGUUCGGAAUCACUGGGCGUAAAGCGCGUGUAGGCGGCCUCUUAAGUCUGAUGUGAAAGCCCGGGGCUCACCCCCGGAAGUGCAUUGGAUACUGGGGGGCUGGAGUACCGGAGAGGAGGGUGGAAUUCCUGGUGUAGCGGUGAAAUGCGUAGAUAUCAGGAGGAACUCCGGUGGCGAAGGCGGCCCUCUGGACGGAUACUGACGCUGAGACGCGACAGCGUGGGGAGCAAACAGG